rnacentral:misc_RNA from 1 species
UCCGAGUUGACCCCGGCAGUCUCCCAUGAGUCCCCGGCAUAACCCGCUGGCAACAUGGAACGAGGGUUGCGCUCGUUGCGGGACUUAACCCAACAUCUCACGACACGAGCUGACGACAGCCAUGCACCACCUGCACACCAGCCACAAGGGAACGCCUAUCUCUAGACGCGUCUAGUGCAUGUCAAACCCAGGUAAGGUGGGGAUGACGUUACGGUCUUACU